rnacentral:rRNA from 1 species
CUAUACAUGCAAGUCGAACGGUGUCUUCGGACAUAGUGGCGCACGGGUGCGUAACACCUUUACAACCUACCUUACAUUGGGGGAUAGCCUUUCGAAACGUAGAUUAAUACCGCAUAAGACAGUAGCUGGGCAUCCAGCAGCUGUUAAAGAUUUAUCGAUGUAAGAUGGGCAUGCGACCAAUUAGUUAGUUGGCGAGGUAACGGCUCACCAAGACUAUGAUUGGUAGGGGAACUGAGAGGUCAAUCCCCCACACUGGCACUGAGAUACGGGCCAGACUCCUACGGGAGGCAGCAGUAGGGAAUAUUGGGCAAUGGACGCAAGUCUGACCCAGCCAUGCCGCGUGCAGGAUGAAGGCGUUAUGCGUCGUAAACUGCUUUUAUACAGGAAGAAACGACUCUUGCGAGAGGCAUUGACGGUACUGUAUGAAUAAGCACCGGCUAACUCCGUGCCAGCAGCCGCGGUAAUACGGAGGGUGCAAGCGUUGUCCGGAUUUAUUGGGUUUAAAGGGUGCGCAGGUGGUUUAUUAAGUCAGUGGUGAAAGACGGUCGCUCAACGAUUGCAGUGCCAUUGAAACUAGUAGACUUGAGUAAAGUAGAGGUGGGCGGAAUUGAUAGUGUAGCGGUGAAAUGCAUAGAUAUUAUCAAGAACUCCAAUUGCGUAGGCAGCUCACUUGGCUUUUACUGACACUCAUGCACGAAAGUGUGGGUAUCAAACAGGAUUAGAUACCCUGGUAGUCCACACUGUAAACGAUGAUAACUAGGUGUCGGCCGAAUCUGGUCGGUGCCACAGCGAAAGCGUUAAGUUAUCCACCUGGGGAGUACGCCGGCAACGGUGAAACUCAAAGGAAUUGACGGGGGCCCGCACAAGCGGUGGAGCAUGUGGUUUAAUUCGAUGAUACGCGAGGAACCUUACCUAGGCUAGAAUGUGAAGGAAUGAUACAGAAAUGGAUCAGUCAGCAAUGACCUGAAACAGGGUGCUGCAUGGCUGUCGUCAGCUCGUGCC